rnacentral:lncRNA from 1 species
GGCAAAUGGCAGAGGCAGAAGGCAGUGGCGUGGGAAUGAAAACAAAGACUUUGGAGGGGUGGGGUCCAUGGAAGGACUUUCUUUGGCAUUUCGUGUCGCUUAACUGAGGAUUUUGGUCAAAGAAGGUGAGCCUCGUGGCAUUAUUACUUUAAUUUUAAUACAGCAACUUUGAUUGGGAAUCAGUUUGCUGUCCUUAAGUUUAAGUGAGUAAUAACCAAUAAGCUUUUAGCUUGUUACUAUUGAAAUCAUUUCUAAAAUUAUUGUUUAAGGAAUUUAAAUUUUAUUUUUAGUGUCAAUGAAAAUUAGAAUAAUUAUUAAAAUAAAUAAAACUUACUUCAAUUUUAAUAAAGUAACCCUUCAUAAAUUCCAGUACUUUUUGCUCUUAAAAAUUCUUCGCUCUACGCUUUCAAUCUAAUUUCAAAUUUCUUUCAAAGAAAAAAAAAGGUAAUUUUAAAAUUUAUUUAUUUGUGUGUAACUGAUGUUACUAAGGUUAAAUUAAUAAUAUAGCCGGAAUGAAAAUGUAUUGUGAUUAGUUAAAGUCUGUAAGGGAAAAAACGUGAAUGGUAGUGAGUGUCCAUAGCAACCACUUCGAUAUUCAAGUCAAUGUAUCGAUGAGAUAAAUGUAAUGAACUAUUAAGAGUUUUAGUGUUUUUUGAAUAGCUUACCUUUAUCUAUGUGAUUUUUCUCCUUUAUACUAUAAGAGGUAGAGAUGAAUAUGGUAAUUUUCUGAUAUUCUGGUGGUAAUGUGACUGUUUGCUUGAUAUGGGACAUUACUGACUAAUAGGUGGAAAUCUCACGAUCACAGGCGUAAUGUGUGUGAUAACGGUAACUUCGUGUCGAGACUCGCCUUGUUGGAGGAAGAGUGAGACUUCUGGAGAUGACCUGGGUGUUAAUGUGUCCGGAUCUUCAUUUCCUCGUGCUUGUCCAUGUUUUUCAUUUGUAAGAUACUUGCCACGUGGUCCUAUUCUAUGUUGACAACUCACGGCUUACUUUGGAUGAUUGUUAUGUAAUAUUAGAGGUUCCCCGGCUAGUCUUUGAUUCUUCAGAUUUGAAGGUGACACUUUGUCUUCUUGAUUAUGUGGCGCAAUUUGACUGUUUGUAUCUUUUGCCUUCCUUUGGUCACAGUGACGUCCUUAUUUUUUGGUCUAUAUUAAGGCUUUGCCGGCUUUACCUUUGUAUAAGAAUCCCCUUUCUCCUUUAUGUUUUGCUAUAUACCAUUUUUGGGAGACAUGAAAUGGGGCAUUUGCUUUCUUCUUCUUAAGGGUGACCAAACCUGUGUAGGGAACAUCAUCAUGAUCUAUGAAGUGCAAUUGAAGGUGAGUUUUUGUGAAGGUGUAAUCGUAUUACUUUGGGACCAUGGGUUGCAACCAGCCUGACUAUAAUGCCUUUCCAAUCCUAAAGUGAGGAUCAUGCAAGGUUGAUUCCGAGGGUAAGGCCAGAAAGGUAGUUGGAGAGGCAGUUCUUUGUAUGGCCUUCCAACCGGUGUCUUCCCAUAGAAUGAGACAGAGUUUCUGUUAAUAGAUUUUUUGAGGGUUCUGAUGUAAUAAAGACUUUACUUGGGUCCCUUCCUUUGUAAUUUUUUGUAAUGCAAAUGUUUAUUUUGCCUAUCUCAUUUGAUAAUA